AUGAAUCCCUUACGGAUAAUUCCUCACACUUAUCGAGUAUCCGCUCUUUCCCAGUUGUUCAUGUGUUUCACAAAAGUUUUUGAAAUACCAUUCGAUCUUCCAAAAAUAUUGAGCAUCCUCUUGCUCUUGAAAUUCUUACUUGCUUGCAUUAUGGUUAAUCCCAUAAGUCUCGUAAUCUUAUUGGCAUCUCUUGUCAUUAUAAUUUUGAGUCCGUUGAUUCAAUUUGUUGCGAAUGCUCGCAAUCCUCAAUCAGAUCCUAGAAUUCAACCUUCCAGCUCAGACGUCAUUUUGAAUAGGAGCUAG
rnacentral:rRNA from 1 species